rnacentral:pre_miRNA from 1 species
UACAAUGUUUGGCUCUUCGUCUUAUUUAAAAAUUUUCUAUGAUUACUAUUACUAUUAUUAUUAUUAGAUGAUAAAAUAUGAACAAUACUUUAUGUGUGACUAAUUUUUUUAAAAAAAAAUUAAAUAAGACGGACCAUCAAACGUUGGACACAGAAACGCA